UUUAUUUGAUUCUCUCUAAAACCAAUUUGUACACAAAUUAGUAUCUGUUGAUAAACAAUCUUAUUAAAACCAAAUUGAAAACUGGAAUUCAACAUGGAAAAAAGGCUAAUUUGUGUGAGAUAUGUUUUCUGUACCUUAAUGUUUAGUUUUUUCAAUAAAAUGAAGGCUUUACAACAUAUUAUUUAUUUUCUCACACCUCCAAACUUUAUUGAGGUAAAUAAAACACGUUAUUAAAGACUGCUUUCACAUUCCAUGUGUUGUGUGUAGAUAUAUUAUUUUUAGAUAGGAGAAGGAAUAAAAGUGCAGCGGUAAAAGACAAGGACAUAGACCCAACACAAUAUAUGCAUCGCUUUAUCUUCCAUUGCCUCAUUUAUGAAAAAGGAAAGAAUACAGAAUGACAAACCUGGUUGGAUGGAUGACAAUGAAAUGGGGAUGAAUGAAGGAUGGGAGGAGUGCAAUUUCGGUUAGCCAAGGACGUCUCAGUUGUGGGAGCUAAAUCAGUUCUAGAAUUAGGGCUUCACUGCAACCUUUUUCCGUUCGUGACACGAGAUUUGCCUCUGGAGUGUUGAAGUUUUCAGCUGAGUCGGAAGGCAACUCAUUUCUCUGCGUAAUUUCACAGCCUCAAACGAACAAGAGGUGUCCAACAGUCACAAACUCCAGCUCCGUUCUGAACUUCACACAGAAUUGUGCCAAGUCAUAUAGAUUUAAUCAGUAGGUAUGUGGUAAUACUGAACUCCAAUAGUUACUUUACGAAUAUAUAAUAGCUAGUGGAGUUUAGAAACUAGCUUAUUGAUUGAUCUACGUGAGUGUUAGACAAUUCAGUUCACUUGGAUUUUAAAUAGCCUGGUUCGAGUAAAUAAUGAUAAAGUCUUGCAUGUGCAAAUACAGAUGGCCACUGCACUCUAAACAUACAUUGGUUCCACGGUGACGCUUCAGACACUCGUUCAUGUCUCAGGACCAGGCCAGGUUUAGACCAGGGCAGCUCGUGCUCUUUUAAAGGACUCCCUCUAACAAAUUCCGAUACAAGUUUAAGAAAAAUUUUCAGCUAUAGAUGCUUCAUGCUUCAUGCUGCUUUCCUUGCUCAACAAUUUGUACAUAAUGCUCAUACAAAUGGAUAUGUAAAGCGGUGUACUGUGCGACAGUUUUGAUGAUUGUUGAUAGUAGCGUAGCUUCCAGUCACGGAACUUUCAUUUCAAUCCAUCUCGUCCACCUACAUUAAGUACACGACCUACAAGAUUUAAACCAGCGAAGUGCAUCGUCAUUGCCUUCACUCAACAAACGAAAUGUUGGAAAAAAAAAACUCCAUGAAGAAGCACACUUAAUCUGUAAGAUCAAAAACAAGAAUACUAAAUUCCAAUUCCCUCAGUUUGAGUAUUUAGAUAGCUGUUCACAUUGAUUUAAAAAAAAAGGCACAAAGAAUAUCUAAAUGAUGAAUCGCUUCUGGAGAGACAAGUCUGAACAUCUUCAAUAAAAACUUGGCCUAGAAACCAAUAGUAAACCAAAGCAUAUCACAUAACGUUCUUUCGUACACAUUCGAUGCUAGCCAGGAGGAAAAGAACACCUCUAUCUCAGCGUCUCUGACUCAUUAUACGAUCACAGCCAAGGCUGUACCAAACUGAAUGAACCGUCAACCAUAUUGCUCAUUUUCAAAAAAAUCGCAGCAGGUUUAACAUAAUGUCCAUAAAUCCAAGUGCUGUUCUCAUCACAAUCAACUCACACUCAA
rnacentral:lncRNA from 1 species